rnacentral:sRNA from 1 species
CCUCUUCACGUCCUAAUCGCAGUUUCUGUUGGGGGUAUGGAUAGGUUCGUCCCCUUUACUACCAGCGCGCUGGUGGUGAUCGAGCUCUUUUGGCCCAGUGGCCUAACAGUUUCGGACAAAGUGAGCACUGGGAGCAGUCUCGGUCUUCUGAAAACUACUUCCGAUGGUCUUUAAUGCGGCCAAGAGCAUAAACUGCUUCUACAAACAUCCACCGCAAGUGAGACUGCUCGCGAAGAAAGAUGGUUGAAACACAUCUUUCUUGUAUUUGAUAUUGCGAACACAGCCUACGAUCCCGAGAAAGGCACUUCCCCGAUCAAAACAAGCUUCCUGUUCUGAUAGUUCGGCUUGGUAAAAGUGCAAACUUAUAACAGCCAGCCAACUCAGAACCAGGUGAAUAAUGAAAUUAGCCGCAUCAUAACCUCAACGGCAUCGGCAGUCUCCCACCCUUAUUGAAGAUCAUACUUCUGGAACUCCGCAAUACUGUAAACCACGGAAACCACAAAUGCUAUGUGACCUUCGCUGAUUCACAGUGAAGGUAUUUUUCUGGGCUUACUGUGCCUCCGGCAUAGGUAAACUGCAAGGCGCGCAGAUUCCGCCUCGAUGUGUUUCGUUCGAAUUCACUCUCGUGGACCAUGUCACGGCAGCUUUGGGUUUAGGCGGUGUAACCUGAUCCAGUGAAUCAAGUGUGCCUGAUGAGCAUCAGUCUAUUAUCAGCCCAUGUACAGUACAUUAUUCAAGCUCAUGA